GGGGGUGUAUAACUCAGUGGUAGAGCAUUCGACUGCAGAUUGGGAGGUCCCCGGUUCAAACCCGGGUGCCCCCA
rnacentral:tRNA from 1 species